AAGCACACUUUGGGGUAAGUAUUGGAUAUUGGUCUGCUGUUGUUAUAUGAGUAAUAUUGAAGUCAAACUGUAGAAAAUGAGUCUACCUUUAAUAAGGAAUUGAUUUGUUCUCAAGCUUAGUGACAUGCGUCUAUAAGAAUAUUUAUCUUGUGAUGUAGGGCAAGGCAUUGUCCACUAUCCGUUAAAAAUUUAAUGUUGGAAAUUUUAUUCUCAAAUUAACUAGUAGGUUAAGGAAAUAGAAAUGAUAUCUUAAAAUGGAAAGAGAAAUCAGUUAUCCUUUGAAUACAUUUAGGAUGUAAUAGAUAGUAACUUUUGAUGUCAUUGUACGACUUUGCAUCCUUUAGUAUUGGUUUGUUUUUUUGGGGUUGGGGGGUGGUUGCCAGCAUGCUUAGGGCUCUGAGAAAUGACUUGUUAGUUAGCUGUUAAUGUAAUUGAGGGCAGUGAAAUUUAUUUAUUUAUAUGCAGGUAG
rnacentral:misc_RNA from 1 species